UCCUGACGAGAUUCCCCGACCUCUUGAGCAAGAAAAGAAGAUCACUCAGCUGCAUCUCGAGAAUCAGCAGAACAGCCAACUGGGGCAUUAUCAAAAAAAAAGAGAGAAAAAAGAGAAAGAGGAGGGUGCAAAAUCAAAAAAAAAAGAAAUCAAUCAAAAUCAAAAGAAAUCAAAAGAAAGAAAAAGAAAGAAAAGCAAAAGAGAAAUAGCACCCUCAAAGUCCCAAGUUG
rnacentral:lncRNA from 1 species